CCUGCAUGAAGUUGGAAUUGCUAGUAAUCGCGAAUCAGAAUGUCGCCGGUGAAUACGUUCCCGGGCCUUGUACACACCGCCCGUCACACCAUGAGAGUCGAUAACACCCGAAGCCUGUGAGCUAACCGCAAGGAGGCAGCAGUCGAAGGUGGGGUUGAUGAUUGGGGUGAAGUCGUAACAAGGUACC
rnacentral:rRNA from 1 species